rnacentral:rRNA from 1 species
UCUCUGGGUGGCGAGUGGCGGACGGGUGAGGAAUACAUCGGAAUCUACCUUUUCGUGGGGGAUAACGUAGGGAAACUUACGCUAAUACCGCAUACGACCUUAGGGUGAAAGCGGAGGACCUUCGGGCUUCGCGCGGAUAGAUGAGCCGAUGUCGGAUUAGCUAGUUGGCGGGGUAAAGGCCCACCAAGGCGACGAUCCGUAGCUGGUCUGAGAGGAUGAUCAGCCACACUGGAACUGAGACACGGUCCAGACUCCUACGGGAGGCAGCAGUGGGGAAUAUUGGACAAUGGGCGCAAGCCUGAUCCAGCCAUGCCGCGUGGGUGAAGAAGGCCUUCGGGUUGUAAAGCCCUUUUGUUGGGAAAGAAAAGCAGUCGGUUAAUACCCGAUUGUUCUGACGGUACCCAAAGAAUAAGCACCGGCUAACUUCGUGCCAGCAGCCGCGGUAAUACGAAGGGUGCAAGCGUUACUCGGAAUUACUGGGCGUAAAGCGUGCGUAGGUGGUUGUUUAAGUCCGUUGUGAAAGCCCUGGGCUCAACCUGGGAAUUGCAGUGGAUACUGGGCAACUAGAGUGUGGUAGAGGAUGGCGGAAUUCCCGGUGUAGCAGUGAAAUGCGUAGAGAUCGGGAGGAACAUCUGUGGCGAAGGCGGCCAUCUGGACCA